rnacentral:rRNA from 1 species
AUUGAACGCUAGCGGCAGGCCUAACACAUGCAAGUCGAACGAGUGGCGGACGGGUGAGUAAUGUCUGGGAAACUGCCUGAUGGAGGGGGCUAACUACUGGAAACGGUCGCUAAUACCUCAUACUAUCGGAUGUGCCCAGAUGGGAUUAGCUAGUAGGUGGGGUUAAGGCUCACCUAGGCGACUAUCCCUAGCUGGUCUGAGAGGAUGACCAGCCACACUGGAACUGAGACACGGUCCAGACUCCUACGGGCGGCAGCAGUGGGGAAUAUUGCACAAUGGGCGCAAGCCUGAUGCAGCCAUGCCGCGUGUAUGAAGAAGGCCUUCGGGUUGUAAAGUACUUUCAGCGGGGAGGCGUUACCCGCAGAAGAAGCACCGGCUAACUCCGUGCCAGCAGCCGCGGUAAUAC